UACGUAGGGUGCAAGCGUUUGUCCGGAAUUAUUGGGCGUAAAGAGCUCGUAGGCGGUUUGUUGCGUCGGCUGUGAAAUCCCGAGGCUCAACCUCGGGUCUGCAGUCGAUACGAGCAAACUAGAGUGUUGCAGGGGGAGACUGGAAUUCCUGGUGUAGCGGUGGAAUGCGCAGAUAUCAGGAGGAACACCGGUGGCGAAGGCGGGUCUCUGGACUGUCACUGACGCUGAGGAACGAAAGCGUGGGGAGCAAACAGG
rnacentral:rRNA from 1 species